rnacentral:rRNA from 1 species
UAGGGAAUCUUCGGCAAUGGGGGCAACCCUGACCGAGCAACGCCGCGUGAGUGAAGAAGGUUUUCGGAUCGUAAAGCUCUGUUGUAAGUCAAGAACGAGUGUGAGAGUGGAAAGUUCACACUGUGACGGUAGCUUACCAGAAAGGGACGGCUAACUACGUGCCAGCAGCCGCGGUAAUACGUAGGUCCCGAGCGUUGUCCGGAUUUAUUGGGCGUAAAGCGAGCGCAGGCGGUUUGAUAAGUCUGAAGUUAAAGGCUGUGGCUCAACCAUAGUUCGCUUUGGAAACUGUCAAACUUGAGUGCAGAAGGGGAGAGUGGAAUUCCAUGUGUAGCGGUGAAAUGCGUAGAUAUAUGGAGGAACACCGGUGGCGGAAGCGGCUCUCUGGUCUGUAACUGACGCUGAGGCUCGAAAGCGUGGGGAGCGAACAGGAUUAGAUACCCUGGUAGUCCACGCCGUAAACGAUGAGUGCUAGGUGUUGGGUCCUUUCCGGGAUUCAGUGCCGCAGCUAACGCAUUAAGCACUCCGCCUGGGGAGUACGACCGCAAGGUUG